AGCGAACGCUGGCGGCGUGCCUAACACAUGCAAGUCGAACGUGAAAGGGAGCAAUCCCAAGUAAAGUGGCGUACGGGUGAGUAACGCGUAGGUAAUCUACCCCAGAAUCUGGAAUAACCGGCCGAAAGGCUGGCUAAUACUGGAUAGAGCGAUGGAAUCCGUAAUUGGGUUUUUCGGGAAAGGGAGGACGUAAGUCCCCUCGUUUUGGGAUGAGCCUGCGUCUCAUUAGCUAGUUGGUGAGGUAAUAGCUCACCAAGGCUUUGAUGGGUAGCUGGUCUGAGAGGAUGAUCAGCCACACUGGAACUGAAACACGGUCCAGACUCCUACGGGAGGCAGCAGUGGGGAAUCUUGCGCAAUGGACGAAAGUCUGACGCAGCCACGCCGCGUGAGUGAAGAAGGCCUGGUU
rnacentral:rRNA from 1 species